rnacentral:pre_miRNA from 1 species
UGUGAGUCUCUUUCUUGUCCAUGGUACCAGUUCGAUUGAGAACGAUCUGUGCGUCGUGUUUCGUGUCACACCACAGUUCAUCUCAUACGUAACUCCAUACUGCCUGAGCCAGCCAUGACUAGAAAGUGCACUCACUUC